GAUGAACGCUGGCGGCGUGCUUAACACAUGCAAGUCGAACGGAAAGGCUCCUGCUUGCAGGGGUACUCGAGUGGCGAACGGGUGAGUAACAUGUGGGUGAUCUGCCCUGCACUUCGGGAUAAGCCUGGGAAACUGGGUCUAAUACCGGAUAGGACGAUGGUUUGGAUGCCAUUGUGGAAAGUUUUUCGGUGUGGGAUGAGCUCGCGGCCUAUCAGCUUGUUGGUGGGGUAAUGGCCUACCAAGGCGUCGACGGGUAGCCGGCCUGAGAGGGUGUACGGCCACAUUGGGACUGAGAUACGGCCCAGACUCCUACGGGAGGCAGCAGUGGGGAAUAUUGCACAAUGGGCGCAAGCCUGAUGCAGCGACGCCGCGUGGGGGAUGACGGCCUUCGGGUUGUAAACUCCUUUCGCUAGGGACGAAGCGCAAGUGACGGUACCUGGAGAAGAAGCACCGGCUAACUACGUG
rnacentral:rRNA from 1 species